UUGUCCCUCUGGGUUUUGCUGACGAAGUUUUAGCUAGGCAAUUAACUUAGACUCGUCGAUCUUUGAAGAUCGUAUUGCAUGUGAUGAACUACAUGUAAAGUACGAGACAACAUGUAAAGUACUAUAUGUGAAGAGUUUUACCAAGGUUUUAUCCCACUGGGUUUUUUCUUGUCAAAGUUUUAAUGAGUUAAUUUCGGCACAAGUCAUCAAGAAGAGGGAGACAUUUGAAGACCUACAUUCGAAGCAUCAUACGUGAAGCACUACAAACAUAAUUCUAUUGGACCACACAAGGGGAAGUGUUGUAGGGCCUAAGGUCCAUGAGUGUGUGGCCUAACUAGAAGCCUAAGGGUUUUUCUUUACAUGUAUAUAAAUGAUACUUGAAUGAAAUCCUUUUCUCUUUCCCUAAUUUUCUACUACAAAAAAACGCUAAUCCUUGGAUCAGGUCUAUAAAAUGGCUAAUCAAAAUCAGCAUCAGUUCCAGUCGAACAUUUUAGGCCUAAAAAACAGACGUAAUGGCAUCUCAAGUCAAUAUCACAUCACAGCAGGUACCAUCUUAAGCUACCCAGGACAAGUUGAAGGAAAUGGGAAGAUUUGGAUUUUAUGUCCACCAACGACGUUAGCAGCGUCGACAUGAUUAUUGUCGCUGAUACAGGGUGAAGAGCUACAUGCCAUCAUUCCCAAAAAUCUUAUUUGGAAGUUUGAUAAUAAGAUUAGAGAGGGUGGUUUGUACACUACUGAGAAAUUGCACUUGACUGCUGGAAAACCCAAGUUCUGGCCAGCAAAAAGUGAAAAAAGAGGUUACUUUCGGUGGAACAAAUCUCUCUCCGCACUGGAUGCUUACUCCAUGUCGAUGAUUCCCCAUAAUUUCAGCUUCACUGAGUUUGAGGCACUCGAAUCGAAUCUUCAGAACAUACAGCUUACAGGAAGCUAAUGUCAUCAUUUGUAACGUCACUGCCACCAAUGUGAUGAUCGAAAGUGGCUGGCACUAUCUUGCAUGCCCUCGUUGUAGCAAAAAGGUCCUUGAUGAUAAUGGUGACCUUUGGUGCACUAAAUGCGAGGUCAAAGUUGAUAUGCCCAUCGCAAGGUACAUGCUCCGGUUUAAGUGGAAGAUCACACUGGCACCACAGUUUUCGUGGCACUGGAUAUCGAGGUCCAAAAAUUGGUCUGUCUAACUGCAGCUGAGCUUAUAGGCAGAUCAGAGGAUAACGCAAAAGUGACGGUUAUGUCUGGAUUCAGAAGGCUAUGGGUUUAGAUAAAACGUAACUUACAUCCUCUGAAAUUGAUUACAUUUAUAAAGUUGUGUUGCUCAUUUCUUUUGUACUUUGGAUGCAUAUAUCAAUGUGGUAUAAUGGUUAUAGCAAACAAAAUAGAAUGAGAAAAUAUUGCAGUUUGGUUUAUUCCCUUUUUUUUUAUUUUUUUUUGCAAGUUUGCCUUCUUGACAGCCCUUGAGGAUAAGAUAGAGUUUCUGUCAUGAUUAUUUGGUUAUAUUCACUUUCUCUUUUCUUAUUAAUCUAUUACCACCCACCCCUUGAAUUUGUCUAAUGCACCAGUAUAGUCUUCUCAGACGCAUACUAAAUGAAAUUGUGAGUUUUUGAUGACCGAGCAUCGCAUAGUAGAAAAUUAUCAGCCACUUCAACUGCUCUUGAUGCCACUGUAUGAGGAGUGGCUUAGCUUUCCUAAAAAUUAUAGAAAUUUUAUUUAUAUAUUAUGUUUUAUCAGUGUAGUUGUGCGUGCUACUGCUAUACAUUCCUUUUGUUAACUAAGUUUUCCUCCCUUGGGUUUUAACAUAUAGUCUUUUCCGUAUCUUUCAUUCGGUAUUCAAAUUGGCAAUGCAUAGCAGUUCACAUAUAAUUUAAUGAGGGUUUGAAGAAAAAUUAGGUAUUCAAAGAGUUGCUUAGGAUGAAAUCAUUAUGAUGCUACUGUUCAAGAUGGAUCAGUUGCUACUAAAGGGGAACGCACUGGAUUCUCAUACAGAGUCUUCUCUUGAAGAGCAAGGAUCAAACCCAUCUUCCCAAGGUUGAGUUGCGGCUUUCAAAUGGUUGCUGCACAGAUUCAUGAGUGCGAUCCAGUCUCCUAAAUGCGUGUUUCAAGUUAGAAAAAGAUGAAGUGAUUUUGAUUUUGGCAGAAGCUACAGUAUGGAUUCUCCGACCUGGGUAUUAUUUGUAAUUUUGAUUUUGGGUAUGUGAGUAAGAGAGUAAAUUUGGUUUCUUCAUAUUGGGUAUUAUCUAUAGUUCUGGGGAGUUUUCAUAUUGUUUUUAUGUGUUCACACCUGCCAGCUAUUGAAUUAUGAUGAGUACUCUUUUUUGGAGAGGACAAA